UGCUCCUGAGCCACUGCCGGGCCUCAGCGGCAUCCCCGAUGCCAGAUGCCAGCUCCUGGGCCUCCGCCGUCUCGGGCAUCUGAACAGAUGCAAGACGGCGCAAAAAAAGACUGUAGUUCAGGGAGGAACUCAAACCAUGUUUGCUCAGUGAAUGUGCUGUGAACCUCUUCGGGCUGAGGAUGGAGAGGGGCUGGGGCGACCAGAACAUCUGAUCUGGCAGGGAACCACGAUUGGGUAAUGAAAUCACUUCGGGGAAUCACAACCAGAAGUAAAAGUGAGAUGGACUAGAAUAGAUCAAAACUCAUCCUUGGGAGAGGGUUCUGGUCAAAAAGUUUGGAAAACGCUGUUUUACUAACAGUAGUGACUAGAAGUGGGCAUUCUGCACAGGACAGCUGACGAGGAAGACAGAGCAUGCGUGACAAUCACCACCGGUGUCACUGAGCAGGAACUGGUACCACGUUAGUGACACUCUUGCA